AAGUGGAAGGUUAAUUUAGAACAUGGGAUCUGUCAGACGGUCAUUUCAAGUAGAACAACAAACAGUAAUGGGUAGGGUGACGUCUAGAAUGGAGUCAUGUGCUCAUAUUCACUCACAGUGGUCAUUGUGAGAGAUGGUAAAAGAGUGGAGACAGUCUGAUGUUGCAGCGGGAGGAGGAGGUAUAACUUCCACCCUGCUGCUAUGAAGCCACGUAGUCAAUCCUUUACCCUGAUUAAUCCUGAGUUUUAAACUUGGCCUGUGGGGUGGAAUGAUGAGUUGUAUUUCAUUACAUGUUUAAGUGUUUUGGAAGGCAGAGAGGCUGGAAUUGAAGACAUUUAAUGGGAAGCUAGGUAUGCAAUGAUCUAUAACCAUAUAAGAUGGAGCAACAACUGAUCUGUCUGUGGGGCAACCUAUAGGGAAAGGUGUUCAGCGAUGUGUAUGUCAAAGUCUUAGGGAUAACAGGACAUGCUUGCAUAAAGAUUGAAUUCAGUAACAUAACAUCAUAACAAGGAUUUCUAGAUUUCUAGAUGGUGUGAUAGUCAAUGUGUCAGGUGUUCUAAAUCUCCAGGUCAUGGCAUCAGGACUCAGUUUCAUACCAGGUAGUGAGGGCUGAAUUUUCUAUUUCAAAGUUAUAUAGAAUUUCAGGAGCCUACAUUCACAAAAGGGCCACAGUUUUUUUUGAGGAAGCUUCAUUGCUACUUAGAGGCAGGUAUCAUAAGGAAUAGGGACUCUCAGAGUCCCUAAGGCUGUUUUGUUUUGUUUUGUUUUGUUUUGUUUUGUUUUUUAGUAGCUUGUUCAGAAUAAAGCCAAAUCAAGGAACUAAUUAGGGAAGUGCUUAACAGAUUGCCUUCCCUGGUCAGAAUGAAGUCAAGAAUAGAGUGACUCUGAGCCUCCAGUUACAUAAUUCUUGUGCUGCAUGGACUCCCAGGAAUUGGGGCUCUUCAAGUGCUGUCUUCAAGACAUCUGUGCUAGUUCAAUGGUAAGUUUGGAUAGUGUAAAAUUUAGCAAAACAUGAGAAGUCACUGGAUCACAGGACUAGAGAAAAAGAAAGCGUCAAAUGUAAUAUCCUAUCAGCAUUUGACUCCAAUGAUGGAUAACUAGCUGAAGACCAAGUAAAAACUUCUUAAACAGAGUAGGUAGAAGUUUGCUUAACAGAACAGAAGAGAGAUAAGCAGAGAGAAGAGUUCAACUGACCUUGAGAAAGAGAGUCCAAGUGGGGAUGUCCCUUAGAAAAUUGUAGGGCAAGUCAAAUGUUAAGGUUGGAAAAUUUUAAAAUUGAGUCAUUCCAUCCUCUUUGAAUACUUCUCCUACCACAUUGACCACAAACAUAUGAUUCUUAUGUUUUAACUUUAGAUUACUUAAAAAAAUCAUACUCAUUAAAAUUGUUUUUGGUGUCUUGAGGAAAUGAUUGCAAGAUUUAUAUUGGAGAAUAAAAUUUUAUUUGAACUACUAAAAUUCAGACUGUCGUGUGAGUACACCUCAUAGUUCAAGGUCAGUGAUUCAUUAUGCAAUGCCGUGGAAGAAAAGAUAAAAAUAAAACAAACCCACAGAUUGAAACCCACAGCAU
rnacentral:lncRNA from 1 species